rnacentral:rRNA from 1 species
UACAGAGGAUGCAAGCGUUAUCCGGAAUGAUUGGGCGUAAAGCGUCUGUAGGUGGCUUUUAAGUCCGCCGUCAAAUCCCAGGGCUCAACUCUGGACAGGCGGUGGAAACUAACCCAAGCUGGAGUACGGUAGGGGCAGAGGGCAAUUUCCGGUGGAGCGGUGAAAUGCGUAGAGAUCGGAAAGAAACACCAACGGCGAAAGCACUCUGUCUGGGCCGACACUGACACUGAGAGACGAAAGCUAGGGGAGCGAAUGGG